CGAGUGGAGUUCCUGGGAGAUUGAAGGAGGCAGACCCAGCUAAAGUUGAAAUAAAGCCUGGAUCAUCCCUGAUGAGAUUGAAACAAUACCCUAUCAAAUUGGAAGCUAAGCACAUUCGUUCCAACCUGGACAUUGAAUUUACGUCAAAUCUUGGACUUCAGAGCCACUCCAAGAGAAAUGGAAAGGACCAUUCCGAGUUCUUUUGACAACCUUGCAGUCAAGGUUUGGGGCAAAGGUCCAUGGAAUCAUUAUUCAAGAAUUAAAAAGGCUCCCUCCUCUUGGUCAGUAGAGCAGCAGGCCCCAUUAAAGUCAAAACUACAGCGAGGAUGAUUAAGUUCUGUAUAUUCACUAUGACAAUAAUGGUAAUCAUGAACCAAGUUUAACAGCCUUCACAUUGGGGUCAAAAUUUGCAUGUAGCCUUGAUACAAAAUGUUACUCAAAUAUUACAGUGAAAGGAUUUUACACAUAUGCCUGAGCAUGGGAAUAAAGCCUUUCUUUAACUGAAGUUCCAAUAUCCUUUAACACAUCUUAGAACAACCUGUGGAUUGGUCCCAUGAAUAGAAAAGAAACUGAACAAGUUGCAGAAGUUGUUGAUCCAAAACUUUCUGCUGUGAAACAUAUAACUACCAACAAAACUUUGGAUCCAGGAGAUCAAACAGUUGGGAACUACCUCUGCUGUAGCUGGUAGCAAGUGUUCUGGCCAAGACAGGUCGGAAAGGGCACAGUCCAAGGGAGACAGAGAGGGUGGUGGCAUUCCCCAAAUGGGUGGUAUUGGUUGUGUGGAGGCAAAGCUAUAAAAGCUUUACCACCAGACUGGUCUGGAACAUGUGCCUUAGGGACAGUAGUCCCAAAUAUAACCAUCAGUGAUAAAUUACAUGAAUUGAAUGCCUGGGUAAGGACAUACAUAAAAAGAACCAGGAGAGUCCACAAUACCAUCGUGGAUCACCCCACAAGUUUUCACAGCUUUGUCCAAUGGUUUCUCCCAUGGUUAGGGGUAAGUGAAGUAGAGAAAACCAUAGUAAACGUAUCAGCAGUGAUUGAAAGCACUGAAAAGAAAACUAUUGAUGGCCUGCGAGCGUUACAAAUAGAAGUGACCAGUUUGUCACGGGUAGUGCCCCAAAAUAGAAUGGCUUUGGAUUUGUUACUAGCCCCUCAUGGAUGUGUCUGUACUACCAUAAAUACAAGCUGUUGUCUGUAUGUAGAUCAAAGUGGCAGGAUUUCUACAGAUUUAGCCGAAAUUUGGGAACGGACUAAGAUUCUAGAUCAAGUUAUGAGGGAUAAUACGCCUUGGGGAUUUGAAAAAGUAUGGCACAAACUCACCUCAUGGCUGCCUGACUGGUCAUGGCUGAAACUGUUAUUUCUAACAGUGAUCUUUAUUGUAACUAUGUGUACUCUUGCUUGCAUUGUGCUGCAUUUGCUGUACAAACCUUUGCUCUAAAAGCAAGUAUAUCUAAAAGUGAGGGUCAUAGUUGAGAAACUAUGAAUCCUCAAAAAAGAAGGGAAUGGCAGCUCUGAAUUACCUUGUAAUAUUUUGCUUAGGAAGAUAGACUGCUUAGAAGAUAGAUCCUUGAAAAAAAGCUGUUAUUGUUAACUAUAGGCCUUUGAAGAUAGUUGUUGCUUACUUGCAUAGUCUUGUACAUAGCCACUGACCAUAUGAGGUCAGUAUGCUUAGAUUAAGUAGAAUAUUUGCUGAAUACCCAAAGACAAGAAGAAGAGUUGCAAGAAGACCAGAAAGGACUGGUUUUGUGGUAUGUGGACUUAAUCCAAACAACAACGAGUGCCAAAAGAGACAAGGUUAAGGAAAGGAGAAGGUGAAGAAGAUGAAGGGGGACGAAGUAACGACCACCGACUCAUUAAAGCAACCACCAGGAGGCACAAAGGGCAUUAUAAUAUGAAGAUGAGUUCCAAGAAAAGCUUAUCCAUAUGGAAAUAAUUUCCAGAAAACUAAUGAAUAUGUAUGACUUUUUACUAUAUUAACAAGAUACUAACAAGUCUGGAUGUCAGUGUUAGGUGGAAUUAUCCCCACCGACCUGGCGCCAAUAAAGGAAUGCUUCUUUUAGAAGCCAUAAACCUUGAUCUCUGAGAGUUUCUUUACUGACUGACUUUUACAGUAUCACAAGGCUGCAGCAUGUGUCAGCAGGGGAAAAAAUUUUGAUUUUUACUGUGUGUGGGCAUUUUCUGCUCAGUUUUGUGUGGGUUCUGAGAUGCUUGGGUGCCCCCUUGGCGGGGCAGCAGCUGCAGGGAGGAUGCUGCUGUUGUGGGUGCUCUCCACGACAAGGCUCUGUGGUCACCAGCACCACACUGGGAUGGUGCUGGGCUGCCUGCGGGCAGCGCUGGGGGAGGCUGAAGUGCCUCGGGGUGGGCAGCAUGACACACAGGUGGGCUUGGGGAGCCUGUCCCCUCUGCCAGGAACAGGCUGGGGACGGCUGUGCCGGGCAGGAGAUGGUGCCACAGCAGUGAGUCUGGGCCACGAGUCCCACCAACACGCUGCUGGGAGCAGUGGGAAGUGCCAGGCAGCCCCAUGGUUUCUGGGUCUGGGGACUGUGCAGCAGAGGGGAAGGAUUUCUCUUUUUCCAUCUCACUAGAGCUGUGAAUUUCCCUCUAUAAAUAGUUGCUGUGGAGACUGUGGAGCUGCAGCAGGCUGACAGACCUGCUGCCAGGGAAGCCGGGGGAGGCAGGGAGAGGCCAGCAGUAAAGUGAAUCCACUGCAGCUGUCCUAGGUCUCCUGCUAUCCCGAAGCCAAGGUUGUUCCCAGAAGCGGUUGCUGUGAUCCGAUACCCUGCCCUGCUCCUCACCACGUCCAUCCAGCGAUGCAGAAGAGUUCUGCUCAAGGACACCCCUCCCAGGCAGCGCGGACUAAAAGGAGAGCAGCACCAGCUGGUAUCUCACUUUGGGGAGCUCCAGAACGAGCCAGAUGACAAACGGAGCGGCGUGCCCUGCCUGCGAGCUGCUGCACGGUAAGUCUGCGCAGAGCCCCUGGGGCUCGGACCCCACGCGCCGACACGGCUGCUUCUGUGCUGCAUGUUGCAACUUGCAGGGAUGCUGCACUCAGCAAGGGUUUGCCAGGUCUGUGGUCGUGCAGAAGAUGGUGUGCAUUGCUCUGGUGAGCUCUGCGACUCCAGAGGUCCAGGCACUGUAAGGCAUGACUGGUGGUGGGCAGCUCCUCACGGCACCUGGUGCAGGUCAGCGGAGUUCUCUGGGCCAGAGGCGAAGCACCGCUCCUUGCCCCCGGCUCUGGAGACCAGGCAGGACCGGGUUGUUGUUCUGAAGCUCUCUGACCUGGUCCAGCCUCGCAGCAAGCCGGAGUGAGGUGCUGAAGAUUGUGUGACCCGGUUCCCCACUGCCUCCAUCCCCUCGUGCCAGGAUCUGCUGGGCCAUGGAGCAGCAGGUGCAGGAGGAGGUGCCGGCAGCCCAGAGCUCAGGUCAGUCCUCAGGCGUGCAGCUCCCGAGCCGAGAUCGUGCCAGGCUCUUCCCAGGCCAGAGGAGGCCACCAGGACCUGUCCAGCCAUUCCUCUGGGGCGACAGCUGUCCUCAGCUGCUCCUUCAGUCUAAGGGCAUUUAAAGAUGUCAGUAAUGUCUCUUGGUGAUGGUCCCUGCAGGAGGCCACCACCCCGUGCGGGAAGGAGAGGUGUUCAACACGCGUUACCAGGAUCUGCACAAACUGGGCUGCGGUGCCUUUGCCACCGUCUGGCUGUGCCAAGACACGAGGUGAGGGGCUAACCGCCUUUCGGGGAGCUGGGAAGGGGUGCCUGAUCUCCUGGGCAGGCCCAGCCCCUCUCGCAGAAGCAGCAGUGCGCAGCUGCCUGCCUGAGAGCACAUCGGCAUCCUCCGAGCACAGGGCAAACCUGGCAGCGAGAUGGGUGGGGUGCAAUGAGCAGAGCUGGUCCCUGGAAACCAAAAGAACAUAAAUGAGGUGGGAUCAGCCCUUGCUCUGCAUCGGCUCUUCUUAUUUAGACCCUGCAAUACACAUACUCUGCCUUUUUCUCUCCAGCCCUUCGCUGGUCCCUGGGACAGCUGUGCUGCCAGAUGCUGGUGGCAUCACCAGGAGGGAUGUCCUCGGACAUGGGGUGCUGCAGACCAAGGGCAAGGCUGCUUGCAGGAAGGCAGCACCCUCCCUGGGGAACCCAGCGCUGGGUAACUGGGAGAAGGGGAGGUGCUACUGGUUAGGGCCACUCUGGCAUGUGUUGGCUGGCAGCUGUGAUUCAUUUCCCAGGAGGAAGAAACACGUAGCUGUGAAGGUCCUGAAAAGCAGGGAAGGCUUUGCUGAGGCUGCGCAGGACGAAGUCGCUCUCCUCCGCUGCGUGAGCAGUAUGAAGAAGAAGGACCAGGCAGGAGAAAACAUUGUCUGUUUGUUAGAUGACUUCAGAAUGAUUGGAGAGAAUGGCUUCC